rnacentral:rRNA from 1 species
AUGGAGCGCAUCGCCACCAGGGCGGAAGAGGCGGCGGGAGCCGCGGCCGUUGGUGAAUUCGGGUUCACCGUGGAGGAAGCGGACGCGGCGUUGGCGAUGAGCCUUGCCGAACGGGAGCAGCCCGAAGAGGAAGAAGAGCUCGCCGCGCCCGACGCCGAGUCGAACGAGCCCGCCGAGGGUGCGAGCGGCCCGCCAUCUCCGAGGAGCUUGCCGCAAGCAGGGCCCUCAGCGCAGCCCCCAGCGCAGCCAAGAAGGCGCCUCCGCAGGGUCGGCGACGUAGCAGGGCGGCAAGUGGGCCAACAGCCGCAGCGUCGCGCGACGCACUCUAUCGCGGCAAGUACGGUUGCCGCGGGAGCGCCUCCCGCCGCAGCGACAACUAAAGCGGGGCCGUCUCGGGCUGGCGCCGCAGCCCCCGCCAAGCGGUCAAGGGAUCCCACCCCUCCACCUCGUCGCGCUGGAAGUGGGCCGAACUUCGACCUCUCCGCGCUCAGCUCCGAAGAGGAGGAAGAAGAAGAAGAGACUCUGGCCUAG